AUUGAACGCUGGCGGCAGGCCUAACACAUGCAAGUCGAGCGAGCGGCGGACGGGUGCGUAAUGUCUGGGAAACUGCUCGCUAGCGGGGGAUAACUAAUGUAAAAGGUAGCUAAUACAGCAUACCAUCAGCUGUGCCCCGAUGGGAUUAACAGGUAUGUGUGGUAACUGCUCACCUAGGCGACGCCCCCUCGCUGGUCUGAGAGGAUGACCAGCCACUCUGGAACUGAGACACGGUCCCGACUCCUACGGAAGGCAGCGAUAGGGAAUAUUGCACAAUGGGCGCGAGCCUUAUGAAGUCAUGCCGCGUGUAUGAAGAAGGCCUUCGGGUUGGAAAGCACUUUCAGCGUGGAGGCGUUACCCGCAGAAGAAGCACCGGCUAACUCCGUGCCAGCAGCCGCGGUAGUAC
rnacentral:rRNA from 1 species